ensembl:lncRNA novel transcript
GAUUAUUGAAUAAUAAAAUACAGUUUUGAAAAAAAUGGAUGAAGAACCUGAAAGAACUAAGCGAUGGGAAGGAGGCUAUGAAAGAACAUGGGAGAUUCUUAAAGAAGAUGAAUCUGGAUCACUUAAAGCUACAAUAGAAGACAUUCUAUUCAAGGCAAAGAGAAAAAGAUGCGCCACCUUUAUGUGGUAGUAGAUGGAUCAAGAACAAUGGAAGACCAAGAUUUAAAGCCUAAUAGACUGACGUGUACUUUAAAGUUGUUGGAAUACUUUGUAGAGGAAUAUUUUGAUCAAAAUCCUAUUAGUCAGAUUGGAAUAAUUGUAACUAAGAGUAAAAGAGCUGAAAAAUUGACUGAACUUUCAGAUGGGAGUCUUGCUCUGUCGCCAGGCUAGAGUGCAGUGGCACAAUUUCGGAUCACUGCAAAGUCCGCCUCACGGGUUCAAGCGAUUCCCUGCCUCAGCCUCCUGAGUAGCUGGAACUACAGAUGCCCGCCACCACGCCCUGCUAAUUUUUUGUAUUUUAGUAGAUACGGGGUUUCACCAUGUUGGCCAGUAUGGUCUCAAUCUCUUGACCUUGUGAUCAGCCCGCCUCAGCCUCUCAAAGUGCUGGGAUUACAGGCUUGAGCCACCGCAUCCGGCCUUAUCCUGAAAAUAUUAAAAUACAGUUAUUGUAAUCAUUUAUAAAAUCCAGUUAAUCUUAAAAUUAAAUUCUUAUAAAGUUAAGCAUCUAAUUUAAAAGGGAAAAAGUAUAAAAAUUAAACUGUAGCUAUUGCUAAUGAAUCAAUUUUUCUGCUUCCAUGACAUACCUAACUGAAUUUUAGUUUCAAAACGUAGUAAUGGCAUUUUUUAUUUGCUUUGGUAUAUAUGCUGUUACAAAUUUGCAUCACUGAUUCUAUUUUAUUUUCUGUGAAAUACACUCUCCCUUAAAUCUGGUUUUCAACCUUUUAUCCUUGCCGGCACACAUAAGGGAAAUGACAUACUUUCUUCAUUAGUAGUUUUUCAUUAAAUGCAGUGAGGAGUGAAAUGUACAUUGGCCUGGAGUGAUUCAAGAAACUCAGUUGUGAGUAACCAAAAGAAUGUCACACUAGCUUAAGUGCAGAAGGAAAAUUUUGGGCUAUGUUCAAAGGUGGGCCAAUUCCAUAUAUAGUUGCUGCAUAUGUUGGGGUCCUGGCUUUGUCUGGCUUCAUUCUCUGAUAGAUUUUCUGGAAGUUGAAAAGAUGUCUCUUAAUUGUCCCAGUUCUACAUUGUACCCGUAGCCUAUAGCUUCAGCACACGUCUAGGGAGAACUCUGAUUGGCCUGAGUUACGAUCUGCCCAUCCAUGAACAAAGUGGCCAGGAAAUGAAGUAUUUUGUUUGUACGCUUCGAUUGCCUGCUGAUGCCCAGAGCAGGAUAGAAGUAGGGUCAGCACCACAUGAACUAAGCAGGAUUAUUAUAUAGUGGAAGAAGGAUGGUUCCUCCAAGGUAGGAAUAUAAGGUCAAUAUUUUCCUCUCACUUUACCCACCCCGAGUUACCAGCAGUUUUCUAUUGCUUCUUUUUUUUUUUUUUUGAGAAGGAGUCUCUCACUCUGUCGCCCAGGCGGUGCUGUCUUGGCUCACUGCAACCUCCGCCUCCCGGGUUCAAGAGAUUCUCCUGCCUCCCCCUCCCGAGUAGCUGGGAUUACAGGUGUGCGCUGCCACACCUGGCUAAUUUUAUUUUUAGUAGAGACAGGAUUUCACCAUGCUGGCCAGGCUGAUCUCGAACUCCUGACCUCAGGUGAUCUACCCACCUCAGCCUCCCAAAGUGUUGGGAUUACAGGCAUCAGCCACCAUGCCCGGCCCCAGCAGUUUUCUAUGGAUGUUAGUGAAGUCAUGUAUAAAGAUGAAAAA